UUCGGGUUGUAAACCGCUUUCAGCANGGACGAAGGGUCACCUUGACGGUACCUGCAGAAGAAGCACCGGCUAACUACGUGCCAGCAGCCGCGGUGAUACGUAGGGUGCGAGCGUUGUCCGGAAUUAUUGGGCGUAAAGAGCUUGUAGGCGGUCUGUUGCGUCGGAAGUGAAAACUCAGGGCUUAACCCUGAGCCUGCUUUCGAUACGGGCAGACUUGAGGGAUGUAGGGGAGAACGGAAUUCCUGGUGGAGCGGUGGAAUGCGCAGAUAUCAGGAGGAACACCAGUGGCGAAGGCGGUUCUCUGGACAUUUCCUGACGCUGAGAAGCGAAAGCGUGGGGAGCAAACAGGCUUAGAUACCCUGGUAGUCCACGCCGUAAACGGUGGGCACUAGGUGUGGGUUCCAUUCCACGGAAUCCGUGCCGAAGCUAACGCAUUAAGU
rnacentral:rRNA from 1 species